UAGACCUUUCUCUGCCAUACUCUGUGAUCCAAGGAGAGAUUUUCAGCCUGAAAGCCAUCGUCUUCAACUACCUCAAGGACUGUAUCCAAGUGCACACCACCCUCAUAGAGACUCCAGAACUAAAGGUGGAUGCCUGUCCAGGCUGCCAGUUCACCAGCUGCCUCUGUGCCAACGAAGCAAAAUCUUUGCGUGGAAUGUGACAGCCACUAGACUGGGCAAAGUGAAUGUCACUGUGAGCAGUGUGGCAGAAGAUUCGCAUAAUCUGUGUGAUAACAGGGUUGCUGUGACACCGCUGCAAGGAAAGACAGACACAGUGAUAAAACCUUUGAUUGUCAGAUCAAUGAUGGAGAAUACCUGGGGACAGUGUGUUCUCCCAUGAAGCUAUUAGCAAGAGGAAGUUUAGAUCUUUCUUGGAAACAGACAGGCCUA